AUGGCGUGGUGCGGACAUUUACAGAUUAGGUCCUUGAGUCUCUCCCUAGUUUCGUGGAACAUUUCUCUAUCCAUCUGGAAAAAACUGGUAAUGACUUUUCUAAUCU